UACGUAGGGUGCGAGCGUUAAUCGGAAUUACUGGGCGUAAAGUGUGCGCAGGCGGUUGAGCAAGUCGAGUGUGAAAGCCCCGGGCUUAACUUGGGAAUUGCGCUCGAAACUACUUGACUGGAGUGUGGCAGAGGAAGGUGGAAUUCCACGUGUAGAGGUGAAAUUCGUAGAUAUUGGGAAGAACACCAGUGGCGAAGGCGGCCAUCUGGCCUGGAAUUGACGCUGAGGCGCGAAAGCGUGGGGAGCAAACAGG
rnacentral:rRNA from 1 species